rnacentral:rRNA from 1 species
GACGAACGCUGGCGGCGUGCUUAACACAUGCAAGUCGAACGGUGAAGGGACCAGCUUGCUGGUUCUGGCUGAGUGGCGAACGGGUGAGUAACACGUGAGUAACCUGCCCCCUUCUUCUGGAUAACCGCAUGAAAGUGUGGCUAAUACGGGAUAUUCUGGGUCUGUCGCAUGGCGGGCCCGGGAAAGAUAUUGCUUCGGUGGGGGAUGGGCUCGCGGCCUAUCAGCUUGUUGGUGGGGUGAUGGCCUACCAAGGCGGUGACGGGUAGCCGGCCUGAGAGGGUGGACGGUCACACUGGGACUGAGACACGGCCCAGACUCCUACGGGAGGCAGCAGUGGGGAAUAUUGCACAAUGGGCGCAAGCCUGAUGCAGCGACGCCGCGUGAGGGAUGGAGGCCUUCGGGUUGUAAACCUCUUUCGCCAGUGAAGCAGGCCUGCUCCUUGUGGGUGGGUUGACGGUAGCUGGAUAAGAAGCGCCGGCUAACUACGUG